AACCCGGUCAGGUCCGGAAGGAAGCAGCCGCAGCAUCCGAAUCGGGUGCCGGGGUCGGGCAGGCUGGC
rnacentral:SRP_RNA from 1 species